AAUUAGUUAAUUCUAAUUUUAUUUAUUUUAUAUGGAUUAUAUAAAAUUUUAA
rnacentral:tRNA from 1 species